UGUCAACCAUAUAGUUAUUUUUUUGAACGUUGUAUUCUGAACAACAACAAUUCUGAAUUAUAUGUUUGUUUGAAUACAUAUUUUCUUAGAAAAAAAUUAGAAAACUAUACAUUUUUCAGAUAGAUGUUUGAAAUAGUUUUUCCUUUUUCAUAUUGUAUAUUUACUUAUUAUUUAUUUUUUCUUAUAUUGUAGGGCAAUUCUCUCAAAUAGAUCUUUUAAGUCUUUGUUACAAAAUAACAUUCAAUAAGGAAAAUGACCAAAAUAAUCCCUUUUAUUUUUUAAAAAAAAUUACAUUUUAUUUUAAUUUUUAAAAAUUUGAAACUCUAUCCUC
rnacentral:lncRNA from 1 species